rnacentral:sRNA from 1 species
UGCACGACUACCCCGGGCUCGGCCCCGGGCUGGGCAGCUCACUGGGCAGAGUCUGGCUCACUGGAUCACGUGUUAGAGAACUGAGGAUCUGUGUUGCUUGGGCUGUUCUGGAACUCUCUGUAGAUCAGGCUAUCCUGGAAAUACUUCUAAGCGCCAAAAGCAGUAUGACUGCAGAAUUCAUGAAACAAUGUCCAAGCGAUCUAUACAAGUGAAAGCUAAACCAGGUAUGAGGGGGCUUCACAGCUACAAUCCCAGCACUGGGGAGGCUGAGUCAGGAGGACUGCUGGGAGUUCUAGCAGGGCAUCUUAGGUAACUGAGUGAGAUCCUGUCUUACUCAAACAGUAUUUGAAUAGAGUUAAUCUGCUCCCAGGGACAUGUUGAAGAGGCUCAUGACUAUAGUAGAGGGUUCUAAUAAGAGCCUCUGAGUUAAUUCAGUGACUGAGAUGAAUAGGUCAAUAAAAAGUGAGACAAUCAUAAUAACAACAACAAUAAAUAAUAUUCAAACCUUUCUAAGCAAAUGUUUUUGAAAGCCAAAUGUUUGUCUCAAUGAAGCUGAACUGAAAGAUGUAGAACCCCAGUCUUGACAUUGAUCUCAGGGUGUACUCAAAGGCUGAGCACCUCCUCAAUGGGAAGACCUGGUAGGCCAAGAUUCUAUUAAAGAUGGGUCUAAAACUAUGUCUGGCACACCCCCUUGAACAGUGUAAGACAGAGGCAGCAGGCCCGCUAGCAUGUGUGUCUUCACUCACGCCCACAGAAACCGCUAAGAAUUAAAUCCUACAAACGCGAAAGGACGUCUGCAAAUACUAAGAGCUUGUCCAUGACCACAUGCCACACGUUAGACUCUGGAAAGAGGCAUGACUGCACUCAGAUGACCUGAAAGGAUUUUAAUGAGGCAGCAUCACAAAAGGUAAUCAUCAAGAAAGCUGAAGGAUUCCGGUUUCUCAGUAACAGCUCUGUGGAACCAAACAGCAGUCUGAAGAGCAGAAUAGCCUGUUAAAUGUGUGUUUUGUGCAAGAGCGGGUGCCCAGUUUAAGAAAGACUUGGCUAUCUCACGGCCACGAGCCGGCUCACCUGCCCUUGUCAGCAUCUGGGUAAAACCCUCCUCAGUUUCAUCAUACACUCUUGAUGUUGACUUGGGUACAGAGAUCGUCUUUCAGGUGAGUCAUUCUCUUCUCAGUUAUCAUGACAUUGGAAACCUGGGCACGAUCCCCUGGUCACUGGAAAAGAAUCCCACCCAUUAUGAUCUAGUUGACAGGCUCCAUUAUGGUUUUGUUAAUGAGGUAGCAACCAUGACUCUCAUAGACUUUUAAGCCCCGAUAAAAUAAUUCCCAGAUUAUUCAUCUAGAAGAAAGGUGAGACUAUACAGUUUCGCUAAGCAGCCACCUCUCCUUCAGGCUUCGAAGCCCAGAAUGGUAGUAGUCACCUGGAGCUAACUGACGGUGUGAAUAAGCACACACAAAACACCAGCCCAAUUCGCAUACCUGCUAACACAUUCUCUGUGUAACCUCAACAGAUGUGCUAACUCUGAACAAAGUUGCAAAGAAAAUAUGCUCUAAAGGUUCUCAGUAUGUAAGCAUUUGGCCUUGAACCUGCAAUCCUCCUGUCUCAGCCAACUGAGUGGUGGGACUUUAGGCCUGCGUGCCCAUAUUCCUGGCACCCUUAGAAAAAUUUGACAUUUGUCUGCUUGGGUGAACACUGCCGUUUCUGUUUUCUCUUCAGAAUAUCCUCAUCUUCAAGUAGAAACCUGUGUAAACAGAAGGCCAGCUUUCUUCAUUGCUCUUCAGAAACGGGUCUUAUGCUGCUUGUAGCCGGGUGAAAACAUUUCCUUUGGUCCAAUUGUACCAUUCACAGUCCAAACCUAAGGAGACCAUUAAAGAGCCACAACUAAUGAAAAGGCAGAGAACUGACCGUGGGGGGCCCAGCCAAACUGAAGAAACACACUCCGGUACUCUGGGCUUAAGGAACAUCAUGUAAGAAUGGACAGAAACAUUAUAAGGCCCAGAGGACCAAGAAGUCUGCUGUGAGAAUGUGCCUUCCAGCUCUACCAGGGGAACUAGGCCCAGGAAAUCUCAACAGCAUGGCUGAGUAAACAAGACCCAGACAGUUUCAACAGUUGACAUCCCACUAUAGAUAGGAGAAAUGUCAUGAAGAACUACAAGUGAUUAACAUCUGUGGGGAGAGUGGAAAUUAUUCUUCCCUAGGGAUGAGUCACCUGAUUGGUCAGGCAUAAAAAUAUAUACAUAAAUGCAA